ACGCUCGACACCUACGGGGGGCAGCAGUCGGGAAUAUUGCGCAAUGGAGGAAACUCUGACGCAGUGACGCCGCGUAUGGGAAGAAGGUUUUCGGAUUGUAAACCAUUUUAGACAAGGAAGAAACAAGACAGUACUUGUAGAAUAAGCUCCGGCUAACUACGUGCCAGUAGCCGCGGUAAUCUGAGCGGGCUGGCAAGGC
rnacentral:rRNA from 1 species